CUCACACCUGUAAUCCCAGCACUUUGGGAGGCUGAGGUGGGCAGAUCAUGAGGUCAGGAGUUUGAGACUAGCCUGACCGACAUGGUGAAACCCCCAUUUCUACUAAAAAUACAAAAAUCAGCCAGGUGUGGUAGCAGCCACCUGUAAUCCCAGCUACUCAGGAGGCUGAGGCAGGAGAAUCGCUAGAACCCAGGAGGUGGAAGUUGCAGUGAGCCAAGAUUUUGCCUCUGCACUCUCUUAUAUAUAAAUUAACAUAUAUUUCCAUAUAUAUUAAUAUAUAUUUCAGGAUAUAUUUAUAAUAAUUACCAAAUGCUCUCUACUUGUCAGGCCUUCUUUUCAGCCCUUUACAUGAAUUAUUGCAAUCUUCACAAGAAAUCUUUGAGGUAGGUAUUUUUGUGCUCACUGUUACAGUGAGGAAACUGAGGCACAGCAAGAUUAAAUUGUGUCAGAGUAAUUAUGGACUUCAGGACCGCAAAUAAGAUACUUUCGGGGAAUUGGAAAAUCCUUUUGGUACAAUUUUUGCUUGUAAAUUUUUGGAGAAAGUUUUUGUUAGAGAUUCUAUAACAAAUUAUAUUUGUUAUAGAAUAGAUUUGUUAUAACAAAUUAUAUUUGUUGUAGAAGAGAACUUUUCUAUAUUAAAGAUUGAAUAACAAAUUAAAUUUGCCUUACAUCACUUCCCAGUUAGUUUCACAGGAAGAAUACCAUAAAUGCUUUUUGACUACAUGUGCAUGUAUCUUUAUAAGCACUAAGCACUCAAGAUGCUUCCUGUUAGUUUCUUCAGUGAUGCUUAUUAUACCGAUAAUAUUGUUUCAGAGGAAGCCAUGGGCUGAAUAAACAUGAUACUUGUCUGCAGAUCCAUUGUACUCUUUGUAUAAUGUUUUUGAACACUUAUAUAAAGUCAUUUCUUCACAAGAACAUCUUGCUUGCAUUACCAAAAUUACACUCUGCUGAAGAAAUAGCUCAUGACUCAUGUGCAAAAGGAUCAUUUAUUCCACUGGAUUUUCUGCAGAGAAUCAUGUUAUGUUUGGAUAAAGACAGUUUUCCUUUUUUCUUUUCCACUUGGAUGUAUUUUAUUUCUUUGUUUUGCCUUACUGUACUGGAUAGGACCUCCAAUACAAUGCUGAAAAGAAGCCAUGAGGGUGAAAAGCCUUGUCUUUUUCCUUAUCUUAGGGGAAAGUAAUUCAGUUUUUUAUAGUGUUGUUAAAAUACAAAUAAAAUAUUAGUUGUGAGUGUUUGUCA
rnacentral:lncRNA from 13 species